AUUGAACGCUGGCGGAAUGCUUUACACAUGCAAGUCGAACGGCAGCACGGGGGCAGCCCUGGUGGCGAGUGGCGAACGGGUGAGUAAUACAUCGGAACGUGCCCGGUCGUGGGGGAUAACGUAGCGAAAGAUACGCUAAUACCGCAUACGAUCUGCGGAUGAAAGCGGGGGACCGUCGGGCCUCGUGCGAGCGGGGGGGCCGAUGUCAGAUUAGGUAGUUGGUGGGGUAAUGGCCUACCAAGCGGACCAUCUGUAGCUGGUCUGAGAGAGCGACCAGCCACAUGGGGACUGAGACCGGGCCAAGACUCCUAAGGGAGGCAGCAGUGGGGAAUUUUGGACAGUGGGCGCAAGCCUGAUCCAGCCAUUCGGCGUGCAGGACGAAGGCCUUCGGGUUGUAAACUGCUUUUUUGCGGAACGAAAAGGCUCUGGCUAAUACCUGGGGCUAAUGACGGUACCGGAAGAAUAAGCACCGGCUAACUACGUG
rnacentral:rRNA from 1 species